UUGAUUUUUUUUUUUUUUUUGAUAUUGUGACCAUUAACAUGGAAAUGAUGGGUAAAAAGCAAAAGGCCUGAGCCGUGAGAUUAACGGUGGUAGUAAUGGAUGCGAAGCUCAAUGUCUCGAGAGGGAGAGGGCCCUUGUCAUUGCGUGAGUUAUUGCAUUGUGACUUUCGCAACCUCUUCUACAGCAAAUUGCCAUAGCUUGAGCAUUGGCAAUGGGUUCAAAUAAAAGGGGUGGGUUGCGUUCUACUGUUGAAUGCUAACCUCGACUUCUCCCAACAUUUACUUUAAGCAUCCAUUUGCUGCCAUCAUGCUUCCAGCGUUGAUCAAACCUUGUAUGCUGAUCCAUGAUCCAUUCACAUUCUUCGCAGUUUUCUUCUUCUUAUAUAUAUGUUUGUGUUUGCCAAAUACAUAAGUGUGUCACUGUUUCUCUAUUAGAAUGUGUUUCCAAAGGCAACUUAAUUGAUGACGGUUGUAGGAAAAUUGCUAAAGCAAAUCUAAUUGUAAAAUCAUGGAGGAAAAAUCUCCUAAUCUAAUCCAAGCUGUAAUUUUUUGUCACAAGAAUUAUAUAAAGCAAACUACCAAAGAAAAUAAAAGAUAACCAGAAGGCAGAGAGAUAGAAAGAGAAGGAAAAUAAGCUGGCCUUGUAAUGUGAAUUGGUUUGAGGCAAUUCUUUUGUUCACUCUUUAAAGUAUAUUUGUGUCUUGGAAUGCAUGCUAGAUGCUACCUAGCUAGGUGCUUCCUUAAAGGGCAAGAGAAUUAAAGAGAUGCCAUAUAAAUAAAACUUACCUUUUUCUCAAUUCUCAGGUUUAUGUGUAACUUAUCCUUUUGAGCAAAUAGUUUAUUUUCUUAUCUAAAUCUUUAUCCUUUAUUAUCCAAAGCAGAAUUCAAUGUAUAAAAGCUAUAUGUUUGAAACACAAACUGGUUGUUGAUGGAUUCUUGCCAUCGGCACAUCACAUAUUUAGUUACAAAUAGAGCCAAAUCUUAAAUAAGAAAAGCUGCAAAAACAGAGGGCUCCUGAAAGGCUGAAAUGCCAUCCUUAUAGGAUAAGGAUUGAUACAGGACAAAAUUCAGUGGGGGAGAAAAAGGAUGCUGAAAAUAAAUGUGUGUCAGAGGCCAUAAGGAUAGGG
rnacentral:misc_RNA from 1 species